rnacentral:tRNA from 1 species
CAGGGAGACAACAAAAUGUUAAAUAUUAAUUUUGUCACCUUAGGUCGAUCGGUAUCUCACAUUCUUAAUUUAUUAAGGAUUUUAUUUCCUAAGUUUUUUCUAGGUCACACCCAUUACUUUUUCCUGGGCCAUUAGCUCAGGUGGUUAGAGCGCACCCCUGAUAAGGGUGAGGUCCCUGGUUCAAGUCCAGGAUGGCCCAUAUCUCUAUGUUGGGGGUAUAGCUCAGUUGGUAGAGCGCCUGCUUUGCAAGCAGGAUGUCAGCGGUUCGAGUCCGCUUACCUCCACUGAUUACCACCUCUUCCAUAAUUUUAUAGAAGGGAAAUGUUUUGAGUUGUGAUCAUUUUCUGAACGAAUCUAGCUUCCUAAUCAAACUUAUUAAGAUGCUGGACUCAUUGAAUUAAUUUCUUUGUUUUCAGAGAACCUUGACAACUGCAUAGAUUAUUUUUAAAGACAAUAAGCAUCUUUAAUGAUGCAGAUUUAUUAUUUGUGCGAUUGCAUUAAUAACAAUUCUAUUAAGCUGAUGCUUCAAUUUUUGAAGUUAUU